rnacentral:lncRNA from 1 species
UAUGGAGCACAAAAGGCUGGACCCUCAUCCUUUUAGGCAGCUGCUGCUGAAGACAUCUGUUUCCCCUCUCCCCUCCUCAGGCCACCACCUCCUUCAUGCUCCUCUGUGAUCACCUCUCCAAGUCCCGGUGUCAGGAGCCUUCUCUGUGGCCGCCCUGGAGAGACUUGAGCCUGGGACGUGACGUGCUGGGCUGUGAAGCUUUCUGAGAAGGGAAACCUGUGGCCUGACCUGCCUGAAUGCUGCACCCAACCUCAUCUCUUCCUGGGAGAAACCAACAACUGUCAGCAUUGACACCAUCAGGCCUUUCUCUUCUAAUUUAACCUUGCAGCCAACCACACGGCUAUCUGUGCGGGAUCUCUCCCCAAGCUCAAGGACAUGAGAUGCGGAUCAGGCCCAAGAGGCUGGAUGCCAAACCUAUCCUCUCCAUGUGAAGCACCAACUUGGGGGUGUCAACUAAAAAUAUGAGACCCGUAAACUUGGAAAGGAAGACUUUAUUUCUUGAGAAGGGUUGCAAACUGCAGGCUGGGAAGUGGCACCUCCAGCUGAGACCACAAACAGUGGACUUUCUCAAACUGGGGUAUUGACCUCUGAUGAACCGCCAUGCAAACCCGUGCCUUUCAACAUAAAAAGAAGCCCUUCGAGGUGCUCACCUUCAAGCUUGCUAGAGGAGGAGGAAGAGCAGGUUGAGUUUGACAUAACUAGAAUGGGUUGAGCCUUUCCAGCAGAGUAAGGUUCUUUCAUGGUGGACAGUGGCCACCCACUGCCAUUUCUACAAGAAGAUUUUGCUUCUUAGGCACUGAGUUCCUGGUUCUUUCACUAGAGAAAAAUGAGUAGGUUGGCAAUCCAGUACUUCCAUCUUCUGUGAAGACCUGGGCAGGCAACGGGGGCUUGGGGGCGGGGGCAGGGACCAAAGACAAGGCUGCCAUUUGCUGUGCCCACCACAGAGGGACAUUUACUCCACCUGAAGCACAAGUAUUUUCUCAGUGAUGUUGGCUCCUACAAAGUCAAAAGGGGUAGGCUCCCUGGCUUACGCUCCAGGAGUUUGGACUGAAAGGGACACUAAAAGUGUCUUCCUCUAAGUUUAUGAUGUUGCCCUCCUCUGGCUACAACAGUGCUCUGGCCAUAAGCAUCCCAGGUUCUCUGAAUGAUGGUGGGUAUGGAAAUGUUCCCAAACACAGGUAUGGCGGUGUCCCCUCCCACUGUACCAAUCUAUGCCCAGGGCUGGAAGGUCCGUGGUGCUCUGAACUGGAUUCAUAAACAGUAGCAUCUCCAACCACAAGUGUGGUGUCAGGCCCUCCAACAGUAGCACAUGUGCUCCCGUGGGUGCCUGAUAGAAAGUGGGAACAUGUGUUUAUUAGCCAGGUGGGCCCCAAAUGCUCUGACGAGGUGCAGAAAGAGGACUCUUUGUCACAGUUGUGCUGUGCCCUCCCAUUGCAACACAUGUGCUCUGAACAGGUGGAGCCCAGGUGCUUUGCAUGUAGGCGGACACAAGAGGGCCUCUAAGCACAAGUGUGGUGUUGGAACCCUCAAGGCUACCGAUGCAUUCUGGCCAGGUGUGUCCCAGGUGGUCUGACUAUAGACAGCAACAGAAUUAUCUCCAGCACCGUUAUAGAGAUACCCGUCCAACUGAUGUGCUCUAGCGGGAUGGGACCCGGGUGAUCCGAACACAAGGAGGAACAGAAGUUUAUUCUGAUAUAUGCUCCUUCUUAGCGAUGUUAUCUCCUUCAAUAGUAACAGGUAUGCUUUGGCUGGGUGGGCCUCAGUCACUCUGUAGCCAGGAAGGAAAGGGCUCCCAAAACAGAUUUCUGCUCCGUAGAGCUGAUCUUCCCUCAUUGCAACAGGGAUGCUAUAGGCAGGCAGGACCUGGUGCUCAGGUCUAAGCCCUUCCUAGAAUAAGUUGUGGUUCUGAGUGUUGUCAGCCCUUCUGCAGAUUUCAAUGACCCCUGACAAGGAGCCAGGGUUUGGGACAGACACAAUGACUGCAAACCUGCCACCACCCAAA